GACGAAGGGGGCUAGCGUUGUUCGGAAUUACUGGGCGUAAAGCGUGUGUAGGUGGUUAUCCAGGUUGGAUGUGAAAGCCUUGAGCUUAACUCAAGAAAUGCAUUCAGGACUGGGUGACUAGAGGACCGGAGAGGAUAGUGGAAUUCCCAGUGUAGUGGUUAAAUCCGUAGAGAUUGGGAAGAACACCAGUGGCGAAGGCGGCUAUCUGGACGGUUUCUGACACUAAGACACGAAAGCGUGGGGAGCAAUCAGU
rnacentral:rRNA from 1 species